rnacentral:rRNA from 1 species
UUGCGGUUAAAAAGCUCGUAGUUGGAUCUCGGCAAGUAGAGGUCGGUAUGCUUCGUAGCAUUACUGCCCUAUUACUUGUAGUUUUGCCAGAGGUUCCUGGGUGCUCUUAAUCGAGUGUCUAGGGAUGCUGGCAGGUUUACUUUGAAAAAAUUAGAGUGCUCAAAGCAGGCUAUUACGCUUGAAUAUUCGUGCAUGGAAUAAUAGAAUAGGAAGUUGUUUCUAUUUUGUUGGUUUUCGGAAAUCGACUUAAUGAUUAAUAGGGACAGUCGGGGGCAUUUGUAUUCAAACGACAGAGGUGAAAUUCUUGGACCGUUUGAAGACAAACUACUGCGAAAGCAUUUGCCAAGAAUGUUUUCAUUAAUCAAGAACGAAAGUUAGAGGUUCGAAGGCGAUUAGAUACCGCCCUAGUUCUAACCAUAAACGAUGCCAGCUAGCGAUCUGAGGACGUUUUUUUUGUAGACUCCUCAGGAAGCUUCCGGGAAACCAAAGCGUGUGGGUUCCGGGGGAAGUAUGGUUGCAAAGCUGAAACUUAAAGGAAUUGACGGAAGGGCACCACCAGGAGUGGAGCCUGCGGCUUAAUUUGACUCAACACGGGAAAUCUCACCAGGCCCGGACACUGGAAGGAUUGACAGAUUGAGAGCUCUUUCUCGAUUCGGUGGGGUGGUGGUGCAUGGCC